UGAACAUCUCAAAAUCGAUCCUUUUGUUGGAUGAUUUUGGAAGCUGGGCUCUUUGUUGUAAAUCCCUUCUAUUACAACUGGCCUGAAAUUUUUGUGACAAAAUGCAAGAAAAAUGUGUAGAUGCUUUGGAUUGUCAAGACGAAAAGCUUAUUAGUUGACUUUGCGUCAAAUUUGCCGACUAGUCUUCAAACCUCUGCAAAUCCACAUUCACA
rnacentral:misc_RNA from 1 species